CCUACGGGCGGCAGCAGUGAGGAAUAUUGGUCAAUGGACGAGCGUCUGAACCAGCCAAGUAGCGUGAAGGAUGACUGCCCUAUGGGUUGUAAACUGCUUUUAUAAGCGAGAAAUAUGAUGGUAACUUAUGCAUAAGGAUCGGCUAACUACUUGCCAGCAGCCGCGGUCAUACGUCGGAGCCGAGCAUUAUCCGGAGUAACUGGGUGUAAAGAGUUGCGUAGGUGGCAUAAUAAGUAGCUAGUGAAAUCUGGUGGCUCAACCAUUCAGACUAUUAGCUAAACUGUUAAGCUCGAGACCGUUAGGGGUAAGUGGAAUGUGUAGUGUAGGAGUGAAAUGCGUAGAUAUUAGAAGGAACACCGAUAGCGUAGGCAGGUUACUGGGACGGUUCUGACACUAAGGCACGAAAGCGUAGGGAGCAAACGGGAUUAGAUACCACUGUAGUC
rnacentral:rRNA from 1 species